UGCCAGCAGGAGCCUGCGGCCACCGCCUGUCCCUGUCCCUGUCCCUGUCCCUGUCCCGGCUCCAUCACCGCCCCGAGGAAGAGGAGGAGGUUGAGAUAACCGAGGAGCUCGGGCAGCGCAGCAUCCCCCUGCUCCAGUGCAUCCCAGUGAAUUAACAGGCCCAGCGAUGCAGCACGCCCUGCGCCACCAACAGCCCCAAAGCCAAAGCAGGAACGCGAUAUUUGCUCUCAGAGGCACUGCUGGAAUUUCUCCCGGUGACUCCGUGGCUUGGACAGCCCCAGCUGGAGCAGCGUCAGCCUGAGGAGCUGCUGCCACCCCUCCAGUCCAAACCCAGGCCAACUGAACUGCCCUGGCUGCUCCUCCUGCGGGACAGCCCAGUGCCCCGGGAGAUGGAGCCUGGUGAGGAGCCUUGGGCUCUCCUCGCCCUUCCACCAACCCUCCUGUCCUCGCUGACUGCAUCAGCCUCCCUCAUCCUGGAGGAAAACGGGAAUAAGUGCAUGGAUUGUAAUGGAUGUCAUGUUCCAGCUGAAGAUCCGGCAGGAAUGCAAAGUGGAAUGAGACUGUAUCCUUACUGAGACUGGAGGGUGGGGAGGAACCACGGCACAGAGGGAUUUUUAAUGAUUUUGGUCUUUCUGGUUUAAUGGAGUUGAUUUAUUAUAAAUUUAAGGUCUUUCCCUGCAUUUCCUCUAAGUCGGUUCUGCCCUAAUCAGGUCAAAAGCUGAUUUGCAAAUAAUCACCAGAGAAAGGGGGAAAACCGAGGGAUUUGAAGCUCAAGCUGUGCAUUCCAUACUAUUAAUUGAAAGCCAGGAGAGAUAAUGUGUCUCUUCUCCUGGCUGAGACCCCUAAGCUGCUCUUAGCAGCACACUCCGCUCUCAGCUCCGAGAAUCACCUUCCAGCUGGGAUUACGCACGGGAAAAAUCUCCCCUGGGGCUGAAGAGUGAAAGGGCAGGAAUUGGGGAGAACGAGAGGAGUCAGAGCGCUCACAGCUCCGCACAGGGCGGCACAAACCGGAGUGUUUAAUAAACGUUUGAAAACCGGGGUUAGUGGGGGAAAGGCAGAGCU